CAGGGCUUGACAUCCCGGUGACCGGACUAGAGAUAGUCUUUUCCCUUCGGGGACACCGGUGACAGGUGGUGCAUGGUUGUCGUCAGCUCGUGUCGUGAGAUGUUGGGUUAAGUCCCGCAACGAGCGCAACCCUUAUUGUUAGUUGCUACGCAAGAGCACUCUAGCGAGACUGCCGUUGACAAAACGGAGGAAGGUGGGGACGACGUCAAAUCAUCAUGCCCCUUAUGUCCUGGGCCACACACGUACUACAAUGGUGGUUAACAGAGGGAAGCAAUCCCGCGAGGAGGAGCAAAUCCCUAAAAGCCAUCCCAGUUCGGAUCGCAGGCUGCAACCCGCCUGCGUGAAGUUGGAAUCGCUAGUAAUCGCGGAUCAGCAUGCCGCGGUGAGUACGUUCCC
rnacentral:rRNA from 1 species